GUUGUGUUCAUACUGCACAAUUAGAACCAUUAGAAUAUGUUCAGUUUUCACCAGGAUGGCCAGCCAAAGUGGAAAGCUGAGACAUGAAAUGGUAAUUAAAGCCUUGAAAGGAGGUUACGUUGGCAGUUAUUUGUUGUAAGGAUGGCAUCAUCGUUCUCAAGGCUCAGCCUUCUGGGAUUGGCCAAACAGAAUAACCACAUCCUUUUCCAGGGAGAAGCAGGAAAAACAGCCAGAAGUGAAGGAAAGAUGGAGCCAAGGUGGAUGCUCCGUGCUGCUGACAUCAUGAGCAGAGCUGCCCCAGCCCUGGGGACGUCCCUCUGCCCUCAGCACCGCAGCAGCAGCGUGGGCUUUGCUGGUUCUCCUGGCCCUUUUCUUCCUUACCCAGGAAAACAGCUCAGGCCGUGGCUCAGAAAGAGCCUCUCGUUGCCUCCCAAUUAAUUGCGCAGCCGAGUCUGUGCUCUUUGAUGUCACUGCUGUGAGCGCUGAUAAAAUUUGAGGAGCUUUAGAGCAUGGAAGUUGCCGCAGACAGUUUUUCUUGUUGCUUGUGUGUCAAUACCCUAUCGAGUCAGCAAUUAUCCUAAACACUUACUGCAAGCCAAUGCAAAAUAAAGGAAAAUUUUCUCAGUAAUCAUUUUUUAUAAGACUCUUCCACUGCAUCCCGCUCCCCAUGCAAAUUCAUGUGUGCUUGCUGGCUCUUAUAGAAUUCUUGGAAUUACUGUGCAGAAAUGUUCUUACAGCCAGACACUCCAAAAACUUCAGCAUUUGGACAGGAAGGACACGUCCAUCCACAGACACCUAUGACCACACAGCGCCCAGCACCACCAGCAGAAUCUGCCAUUCUGCACGAUACUGCAUCCUCUGACAUUUGCAACAGCAUGGCUCUGCAACACGAUGGAAAAAAGGUUCUGCAUUUACAAAUGCCACAGGAGUGAAGAUGAAGCAAGCAAGCACUGGCACCCAGCUGUUGGAACCAACAGCACCACGGAGCAGGGGGCGGGGGCCAGGAUUAGCAUGCUGCUCACACGCUCACCGCCUUCUCUAAUCACAAUGCAGGCAUUAUCAGCGAGCGGCGAAUCUUUGUAUUAUUUCCAAGUUUCCCCUAUUGUCAGUCAUUGUGACAAAGCGCAGGACGAUCUGACACAAUGAUGAAUCACUCCCGACAUUGAGUUUUCACGGGGCUGUCAGGCGAUCUCAGUAGGCUGCAUCACCUGGAAAUGCCACAGGAUUCAAACACAAGAACAAAAGCAGAGUUUGGGAUCAACUCCGCUGACUCGGGAUAUGAGCAGGGGAGUUGGAGGGCUGACUCGGGGUCUUCUCAUCCACACAUCUCUGUGUUCUUCCGGCGUGAAUGAAACCGCAGGGCUUAUUAAAACAUCCAGCAUGCAAAUAGGAGG
rnacentral:lncRNA from 1 species